rnacentral:lncRNA from 7 species
GGAGGCAGGCCUGGGCCAUGACUCCAACCAGACAGUCAGCCAAGGCAGGCAGGCAGGAGCUGCGACUCCAGUCAGGCAGCCAAGGCAGGCAGGCAGGCAGGGGCCAUGACUCCAACCGGUCAGCCAAGGCAGGCAGGCAGGGGCUGUGUCUCCAACCAUGCAGCCUAGACAGGCAGGCCCGGGCCAUGACCCAACCAGCCAGUCAG